rnacentral:rRNA from 1 species
AUGAGCAUUGCCGAAGGCAUGCCAUCGGUGGAUAUAGAUGGAAGACGGUUACGAUUUCUUCAAGAGGACCGCCCAGAGAGCGACACGUGGCGGCGGUUGAGAGCACGCCAGGUGGCACGCUCGCAGCCCACCCCCAAGUUAUCGCUGGGAGGCUCUCACGGGAAUGCUCGUCAAGCAGUUGCUCCCAGGGAAAGGAAGAAGGUUCUUAGAGUUUAUGGACAACUGAGUGCUUCUAUCGUGAGUCCUGAUGGAGUUCCAAUGGGGCUUUGGACCUUUAAUCAGGCAUUAGCACGCCGAGAGCUGAUGAGGAUGAUAGUGUUGCAUGAAUUGGCAUUCUCAUUGGUGGAGUAUGGUGGAUUUAGAAGAUUUGUCUCUAGUCUAAAUCUCAGCUUCAAGAUGAUAUGUAGAAAAACAGUGAAGGAGGACUGCAUGAAAGCAUUCAAGGAAGAGAAGAGAAUUCUGCAAAGGAUGUUCCAAAACUCCAAAUCCAAGAUUUCUUUGACCACGGACCUGUGGACAUCAAAUCAGACAGUGGGGUACAUUUGCAUCAUAGCUCACUUCAUUGAUGGGGAGUGGAAGCAGCAGAAGAGGAUACUAUUGAAGGCACAUCUCCUGCUUAAGAAGAUGUUACCUGGUGGUGGCAAGUUGUUUCACCAAUGUUGUGCCGCCCAUGUCAUAAAUCUGACAUGUCAAGCAGGAUUGAACUUCCUUGGUCCAGUGAUCAACAUGAUACGUGAAACUGUGAAAUACAUUCGAAGCUCACCAAGUCGAAAGGAAAAAUUUCAAGAAAUCGUUGAGCAACAUGGUGUAUCAUGUGGGAGAACUCCAAGUCUUGAUGUUCCAACUCGCUGGAACUCAACCUACAUGAUGAUUGAUAUAGGAAAAGAGUAUCGCGGAGUGUUUGACUCUUUGGCCAUUCAAGAUAAACAAUAUACCUUCAAGCCAUCUUUUGAGGAUUGGGAAAAUGCCGAAUAUGUUUGCAGGCUACUGAAGGUAUUUUAUGAAGCCACUAAUGUGAUAUCCGGCACAAAAUAUCCAACUGCUAACUUGUAUUUCCAUGAAACGUGUAAAGUGAAGCUGACCUUAGAGCAACAACAUUAUGAAGAGGAUUCUGAGAUGGGCACAACGGUCAAAUAUAUGAAGAGAAAAUUCAGAAGGUAUUGGAAGAUGACAUGGUUGAGCCUUUGGUUGUUCAAUGAAUACCUCCAAUUGAAUGACAAUGGAUCAGAUCCCAUGUCACAAGGAGGUGGUGAUGGCAUGGUUGUACCCAUCCGUCGAAGUGAUCAAUUCAAUAUCCUUGCAUGGUGGCAGACGAACUCAGGUGAAUACCCAACGCUAAGUCGCAUGGCAGCAGAUAUCUUGGCGGCUCCUGCCUCUGCGGUGGCAUCUGAGCCCGCCUUCAGCACAGGGAAGAGAGUCCUAUCAGAUUUUCAAAGUCGAAUGACCGCAACGACACUUGAAGCUCUUGUUUGCUUACAAGAUUGGAUAAGGACAAACGUUUAUUCCAGGGAACUAUUUGCAAGAUGCAGCCCAAACAUAUAUCGAGGACUGAUGCUUGUUGGAGCAAUUGAUGUUAAACCUCAAGCAGAUGGUGAAGCAAAGAUAUGUUAG